rnacentral:rRNA from 1 species
GAUGAACGCUGGCGGCGUGCCUAAUACAUGCAAGUCGAGCGAACAGACGAGGAGCUUGCUCCUCUGAUGUUAGCGGCGGACGGGUGAGUAACACGUGGAUAACCUACCUAUAAGACUGGGAUAACUUCGGGAAACCGGAGCUAAUACCGGAUAACAUGUUGAACCGCAUGGUUCAACAGUGAAAGACGGUCUUGCUGUCACUUAUAGAUGGAUCCGCGCCGCAUUAGCUAGUUGGUAAGGUAACGGCUUACCAAGGCAACGAUGCGUAGCCGACCUGAGAGGGUGAUCGGCCACACUGGAACUGAGACACGGUCCAGACUCCUACGGGAGGCAGCAGUAGGGAAUCUUCCGCAAUGGGCGAAAGCCUGACGGAGCAACGCCGCGAGAGUGAAGAAGGUCUUCGGAUCGUAAAACUCUGUUAUUAGGGAAGAACAAAUGUGUAAGUAACUAUGCACGUCUUGACGGUACCUAAUCAGAAAGCCACGGCUAACUACGUG